UAAUACCGGAUGAUACUUCCUCCCGCAUGGGGGGAGGUUGAAAGCUCCGGCGGUGCAGGAUGAGCCCGCGGCCUAUCAGCUUGUUGGUGGGGUGAUGGCCUACCAAGGCGACGACGGGUAGCCGGCCUGAGAGGGCGACCGGCCACACUGGGACUGAGACACGGCCCAGACUCCUACGGGAGGCAGCAGUGGGGAAUAUUGCACAAUGGGCGAAAGCCUGAUGCAGCGACGCCGCGUGAGGGAUGACGGCCUUCGGGUUGUAAACC
rnacentral:rRNA from 1 species